AAUUUGUUUCUUUACACACAUAUUUUCCCAAAAACAUAACAUUUCACUAAAACGAAAAGCAAAAUGAGUGAGACGAUUCCGACACCUAAUCGCACAAUACGCCGCCGUCAAUCCUCCUCCGCUGUUCAAUCUCCUCCGCCACCGUUUAUUCUCCUCCGCCGCUGUUUAAUCUGGAAGCACAAUCCGUCAAUCUCUCGGUUGUUCUCCUUCAAACCCUACUCCGUCGAAGAACCACAACCCCUCCGCCGUUCUCUGUCGUUCUUUGCAUUUCCAAGGAAGGAACCAACUACACACUCCUCCAUAAAUAUGUUUUUGUCAUGGAAGUAAGCUUAUGAAAGAUUGUGAUUAUUAAAGCAAGCUUUCAAGUUUCAAUUCAGGUGUUUGCUAACAGGGGUCAUAUGGUUUUUGAUCCAGUCAUUGACUAAUAGCAUCUCUUCAACAAGGUUUGUCUUCUACAUUUAGCCUGGAUUUUUAAACCUUGUUGAAGGAGAAAGACAAAUUCAAACCUGGAUCUAAGGUAGAAGAAAAUUAAGGGUUGUUUAAGAACAAGUGGAGUAGCAGCAAAAGCUGUGUUUCUGUUACUAAACAACUCGUCUAGUGAGAAGCAUCAUCGCCUAGCGAGGACAGCAGCGUGCUCUGCCUCUGUGUGUUGUUCUUUCCCCUAUCCAACAAUUCUUGAUCAUAGGUAAGCAAACUCAAGCUCUUUUCCUUCUCUCCAGGAUUAUUCUAUACUUUUGGUGUUAGAAAUAUCACUAAUCCCAUUCUUGGUGAUUGUAUGUGGCUUGUUUGGAGAAAGAGGCUGUGAUUAAAGUAUUUGGAGCUGGGAAUUGAAUGAAAAUGGAAGGACAUGGCCAUUUGGAGAAAGCUUCACAUUGAGUAGGGUACUGUGCUCCCCCCCCAAAAAAAAACUGCAGCUAUUUAGGAGCGAGGCCGGGUUUCUCUCUUAUUUGACGUUGUAUGUUGUUUAGCUUAAAUUUUGGGACUUUCUUCUACUCUCAAGGAGUUUAAUUUCUCGCCGGGUUUGUUCAUGAAUAGUUUUAACAAGCGACAUCAUGUUUGUCUGUCAUCCUUUGAGCCAAAUAGGUUGGUUUUUGGAAAAAGUGAAAGAGGAAACCAACUAUCUAUUUCUCCUAAUCAAUGCCUCAAGUUUCAAAUGAGAAGAUUAGGUAAGUUUCUUUUGCUUCAACCCUUAAAAAUCAAUUCAGGGCUCUUUUUGUAUAAUAUUAUAAUUGAGUAAAUCGUCAUUUUAGUUCCUAAAUGUGUAAAGUUGUGUUUUGAUGACCUUAAUGAGUACAUUGGUAGAGAUUUUAUGAUUGUUAUCUUUGGUUUUGAUAUUUUAAUGAAUAUAUUGGUAGAGAUUUUAUGGUUGUGAGAAA